UACGUAGGGGGCGAGCGUUGUCCGGAGUUACUGGGCGUAAAGGGCACGCAGGCGGUGCGGCGCGUUUCGCGUGACAGCGGAGGGCUUAACUCUCCGAGGAUGCGAAAGACGGCGGCACUUGAGGGCCAGAGAGGGACACGGAAUUCCGGGUGGAGUGGUGAAAUGCGUAGAGAUCCGGAGGAACACCGAAGGCGAAGGCAGUGUCCUGGCGCGUAACUGACGCUGAGGUGGCGAAAGCCAGGGGAGCGAACGGG
rnacentral:rRNA from 1 species